CCUACGGGUGGCAGCAGUGAGGAAUAUUGGUCAAUGGACGCAAGUCUGAACCAGCCAUGCCGCGUGCAGGAAGACGGCUCUAUGGGUUGUAAACCUCUUUUGUCGGGGAGCAAAAGCCGGACGUGUCCGGCUGUGAGAGUACCCGAAGAAAAAGCAUCGGCUCACCCCGGGACAGCAGCCGCGGUAAUACGGAGGAAGCGAGCGUUAUCCGGAUUUUGUUGGUUUAAAGGGGGCGCAGGCGGAUUUUUAAGUCAGCGGUCAAAUCGUGGGGCUCAACCCCAUCCAGCCGUUGAAACUGGGGAUCUAGAGUGUGCGAGAGGUAUGCGGAAUGCGUGGUGUAGCGGUGAAAUGCAUAGAUAUCACGCAGAACCCCGAUUGCGAAGGCAGCAUACCGGUGCACAACUGACGCUCAGGCACGAAAGCGUGGGUAUCGAACAGGAUUAGAUACCCCAGUAGUC
rnacentral:rRNA from 1 species